ACCCUUUCUUAAAUACUGAACAUACUGUGGGGACGAAAGUCUCUGCUUUUAACUAGAUAGCAACUUUCAGCAGUGGAUGUCUAGGCUCGCACAUCGAUGAAGAACGCUGCGAACUGCGAUACGUAAUGCGAAUUGCAGGAUUCAGUGAGUCAUCGAAAUUUUGAACGCAUAUUGCACUUCCGGGUUAGUCCUGGGAGUAUGCCUGUAUCAGUGUCCGUACAUCAACCUUGGUUUUCUUCCUUCCGUGUAGUCGGUGGAGGAUAUGCCAGACGUGAAGUGUCUUGCUAGCGGUCUUUCGAGUCUGCCGGUGAGUCCUUUUAAAUGUACUGAACUGUACUCUCUCUUUGCGCGAAAAGCGUGGCGUUGCUGGUUGUGGAGGCUGCCCGUGUGGCCAGUCGGCGACCGGUUUGUUAGCUGUGGCGUUUGGAGGAGUGUUCGAUUCGCGGUAUGGUUGGCUUCGGCUGAACAAUCUGCUUAUUGGGUGCUUUUCCUGUCAUGGCGGUAUGAACUGGUGAACCGUAGCUGUGUGGUGCUUGGCUUUUGAACCGGCUUUGCUCUGCGAAGUAGUGUGGCGGCUUCGGCUGUCGAGGGGUCGAUCCAUUUUGGGAAACUUUGUGUGUGCGGCUUCGUGCUGCGCGCAUCUCAAUGGACCU
rnacentral:rRNA from 1 species